AGUGAACGCUGGCGGUAGGCCUAACACAUGCAAGUCGAACGGCAGCACAGUACUAGCUUGCUCUUACGGGUGGCGAGUGGCGGACGGGUGAGGAAUACAUCGGAAUCUACUUUUUCGUGGGUGAUAACGUAGGGAAACUUACGCUAAUACCGCAUACGACCUACGUGUGAAAUCAUGGGAUCUUCGGACCUUGCGCGAUUGAAUGAGCCGAUGUCGGAUUAGCUAGUUGGCGGGGUAAAGGCCCACCAAGGCGACGCUCCGUAGCUGGUCUGAGAGGAUGAUCAGCCACACUGGAACUGAGACACGGUCCAGACUCCUACGGGAGGCAGCAGUGGGGAAUAUUGGACAAUGGGCGCAAGCCUGAUCCAGCCAUACCGCGUGGGUGAAGAAGGCCUUCGGGUUGUAAAGCACUUUUGUUGGGAAAGAAAAGCAGCAGGUUAAUACCCCGCUGUUCUGACGGUACCAAAAGAAUAAGCACCGGCUAACUUCGUG
rnacentral:rRNA from 1 species